rnacentral:rRNA from 1 species
UACGGAGGGUGCAAGCGUUAUCCGGAUUUACUGGGUUUAAAGGGUGCGUAGGUUGCAAUAUAAGUCAGUGGUGAAAGGUCGUAGCCUAACUACGGAUGUGCCAUUGAUACUGUAUAGCUAGAAUUGACACGAGGUACUUGGAAUGCGUCAUGUAGCGGUGAAAUGCUUAGAGAUGACGUAGAACACCAAUAGCGAAGGCAGAGUACCAGUGUACGAUUGACACUGAGGCACGAAAGCGUGGGGAGCGAACAGG